rnacentral:rRNA from 1 species
AACGCGAAGAACCUUACCAGGUCUUGACAUGUAUGCUAUGGUCUCUUGAAAGAGAGUCCUUCACUUCGGGUGGGCAUACACAGGUGCUGCAUGGCUGUCGUCAGCUCGUGUCGUGAGAUGUUGGGUUAAGUCCCGCAACGAGCGCAACCCUCAUCCCUAGUUGCCAACACAUAAUGGUGGGAACUCUAGGGAAACUGCCGGUGAUAAGCCGGAGGAAGGUGGGGAUGACGUCAAGUCUUCAUGGUCCUUACGACCUGGGCUACACACGUGCUACAAUGGCGAUGACAAUGGGGAGCUAACCUGCAAGGGUGUGCAAAUCUCAAAAAGUCGUCUCAGUUCGGAUUGCACUCUGCAACUCGAGUGCAUGAAGCUGGAAUCGCUAGUAAUCGUAGAUCAGCAUGCUACGGUGAAUACGUUCCCGGGCCUUGUACACACCGCUCGCGA